rnacentral:rRNA from 1 species
GAUGAACGCUGGCGGCGUGCCUAAUACAUGCAAGUCGAGCGAAUGGAUUAAGAGCUUGCUCUUAUGAAGUUAGCGGCGGACGGGUGAGUAACACGUGGGUAACCUGCCCAUAAGACUGGGAUAACUCCGGGAAACCGGGGCUAAUACCGGAUAACAUUUUGAACCGCAUGGUUCGAAAUUGAAAGGCGGCUUCGGCUGUCACUUAUGGAUGGACCCGCGUCGCAUUAGCUAGUUGGUGAGGUAACGGCUCACCAAGGCAACGAUGCGUAGCCGACCUGGGAGGGUGAUCGGCCACACUGGGACUGAGACACGGCCCAGACUCCUACGGGAGGCAGCAGUAGGGAAUCUUCCGCAAUGGACGAAAGUCUGACGGAGCAACGCCGCGUGAGUGAUGAAGGCUUUCGGGUCGUAAAACUCUGUUGUUAGGGAAGAACAAGUGCUAGUUGAAUAAGCCGGCACCUUGACGGUACCUAACCAGAAAGCCACGGCUAACUACGUGCCAGCAGCCGCCAUAAGAC